rnacentral:rRNA from 1 species
UGAUGGAGCACGCCGCGUGAACGAUGAAGGCUUUCGGGUCGUAAAGUUCUGUUGUAAGGGAAGAACAAGUGCCGCAGGCAAUGGCGGCACCUUGACGGUACCUUGCGAGAAAGCCACGGCUAACUACGUGCCAGCAGCCGCGGUAAU